AGUGAACGCUGGCGGCAGGCCUAAUACAUGCAAGUCGAACGGCAGCACAGCAGAGCUUGCUCUGUGGGUGGCGAGUGGCGGACGGGUGAGGAAUACAUGGGAAUCUGCCCAGUCGUGGGGGAUAACGUAUGGAAACGUACGCUAAUACCGCAUGCGCCCUACGGGGGAAAGCCGGGGACCGCAAGGCCUGGCGCGAUUGGAUGAGCCCAUGUUCGAUUAGCUAGUUGGCGGGGUAAAGGCCCACCAAGGCGACGAUCGAUAGCUGGUCUGAGAGGAUGAUCAGCCACACUGGAACUGAGACACGGUCCAGACUCCUACGGGAGGCAGCAGUAGGGAAUAUUGGACAAUGGGGGCAACCCUGAUCCAGCCAUGCCGCGUGAGUGAAGAAGGCCCUCGGGUUGUAAAGCUCUUUUGUCCGGAAAGAAAGCAUCUGGUUAAUACCCGGGUGUUCUGACGGUACCGGAAGAAUAAGCA
rnacentral:rRNA from 1 species